GAGGGAGAAGUGAAAGGUCUAUCUGCAGCAGUUAUGUGUUAAGGAAUAAAAUAAUAGGAAGCUUUUCUAAUCAGCUGGUUUGGGAUAAUUACAAUAGUUUGAAAGAUUCUCUCAUUCCAGAUAGUCCAUCUUAACCCAGCCACUAUAGCUAUGAGAGCCUGAUUGUUAUUAAUGGACCCAUUGAUAACUAUAUAAUUUAGCAGAUCAAACACAAA
rnacentral:lncRNA from 1 species